GUAAGUACUUUUAAGGAAGUAAAGAUAAAUUAGUAGUCUUCCUUUUGUAUCAGGAUCUUUUUAUUUGUUUAUUUUAUUUAGGAAUCUCGAAGUUUUGCGGACUAUGUUUGAUAUUUGUAUAAUCAUAUAAUGUAUUUCAUAGUAAUGAUAUGUUUUCGAGCAAAAAUAGCUAGUUUGGGUUAAGCGUGGAGCAGGGGUAAGUCCUGUUUUUGUAAUAUAUUUAUGUUGAGAGAAAAAAUUAUUUUUUAUAUUAAAUGUAUUUUUAGUUUGUUAUUAAUUAUCUGUUUCUUUGAUCUAAUAUUGUGAAUAAACCUUUAUUCAAAUUACAGUAUUUUUAUAAUGAGAGAAUUAUUAAGUAAGCAGAAAAUUUAAUAAAGUACUCGUAAAUUUUUUGAAUGUUUAGCAAAAACAUUUCUUUUUGUGGGUAUAAAAGUAUGAUCUGCCCAGUGAGACUUAAACGGCUGCGGUAUUUUGACCGUGCUAAGGUAGCAAAAUCAUUUGUUUUUUAAUUGAAAACUGGAAUGAAGGAUUUAACAGAUGAAUUUUUAUUUUAAUAUAUUUUAUUUAAUUUAUAAUUUAUUUAAAAAUAAAUAAAUGAGAAAAAGGGACGAUAAGACCCUAAAAGCUUUAUUAUUUUUAUGUUCUUAUUUUUUGUUUUUAUUUGAAGGUAGUAAGAAUAUUUUGGCUGGGGCAGUGGUUUUUUUAAAACAAAAAAUUAAGAUAGAUGUUAUGGUCCUUUUUAUAAGGAUAAUUAGUAUAAGUUACUUUAGGGAUAACAGAAUAAUAAUAAUGGGGAGACCUUAUCUAUAUUAUUGAUUGUUACCUCGAUGUUGAAUUAGGUUUCUAUAUAAAGCAGGAAUUAUAUUUUGGGAGUUUGUUCAACUUUUAAAAAUCUACAUGAUUUGAGUUCAAAUCGGUUUAAGCCAGAUUGGUUUCUAUCUUUUUUAGUUUAUAUUGCUGUUUUAGUACGAAAGGACCGGGCAGUGUUUA
rnacentral:rRNA from 1 species